GUGACUUAUGACUGACAGGGAUAUUGUGUAAGUUGUUGAGAGCCACAACCCAGAUGUGCCUUGGCUGCAGGAGACAGAGACAGACUUGUCUCUCUUGAGAAGUGAAUGCCUCAGUUCCACACACCAGGUGCAAUACAGGAGGCUGCAAUUUCUCGGUUCUGGUGAGAAAAAACACUUCUGGGAUCAUCCAGCCAGCUGCUGAGACGGGCGCCCACAAGCAUGGACACUGAAGACAGCGUCACAGAGCAGGUCUGCCAGGAAGCAGACAUCCAGGAUGGCGAGCUGCGGGAGGUGGAGGUUGCAGGCCACAAAGUGUUGCUGGUGAGGAGUAAGAUGGAGUUCAGUGCUGUGGGGAGCAAGUGCACACACGCAGGAGCCUCUCUCAGCAAAGGUACAACCUGGCGCGUAUCCCCAGCUUCCAGGCAAAGCUCAGGCCACGGGCAAAGGCAGGGAAGAGGUGGUGGUGUCAAAGGAGACACUGUGCAGAAAGAGGAUGGGCAGCUUCUCUCCAGGAGCUGCCACUUGGCUAAUGCUUCUGCCUAGCAGGCUGAGCGUCUCUCUCACUGCACCUCUGAGCGAAAGGGCAAGGGAAGCCCACACUGUCACCCCCAAGGCAGGGACAGCCCCGCCCCCCGUGGGAAGUGGGCCAGGAUUCAACUGCUUUCCAGGGGGCUGCCUUGUCUCAAGUCACUGCUCUGGCCAAGCGCCCCCGUUGGACACUCACCAGACUGUUGUGUUUGGCUCCCUCCCCACACAUACCAGGGUGCCUGAAAGCAGGG
rnacentral:lncRNA from 1 species